GUCCACGCUGUAAACGAUGAUUACUCGUUUUCGGUAUUUAUAUCGGAGACCAAGCGAAAGUGAUAAGUAAUCCACCUGGGGAGUACGUUCGCAAGAAUGAAACUCAAAAGGAAUUGACGGGGGCCCGCACAAGCGGUGGAGCAUGUGGUUUAAUUCGAUGAUACGCGAGGAACCUUACCAAGGCUUAAAUGCAUAAUGACAGAUCCAGAAAUGGAUUUUUCUUCGGACAGAAUGCAAGGUGCUGCAUGGCUGUCGU
rnacentral:rRNA from 1 species